UACAGAGGCCUCAAGCGUUGUUCGGAAUUACUGGGCGUAAAGAGAAUGUAGGUGGUGAUGUAAGUCAGAUGUGAAAGCCCUGGGCUCAACCCGGGAAAUGCAUUUGAUACUGCGUUGCUAGAGUGUGGAAGAGGAGAGUGGAAUUCCCGGUGUAGGAGUGAAAUCCGUAGAUAUCGGGAGGAAUUCCGAUGGCGAAGGCAACUCUCUGGUCCAUUACUGACACUGAGAUUCGAAAGUAUGGGUAGCAAACAGG
rnacentral:rRNA from 1 species